ACCUGCGGAGGGAUCAUUACAGAGUUGCAAAACUCCCAAACCAUUGUGAACGUUACCUUUACCGUUGCUUCGGCGGGCGGCCCGGGUCCUGCCCGGCGCCCCUCGGCCCUCGCGGGCGCCCGCCGGAGGUAAACCAAACUAUUGCAUUGUAUGGCCUCUCUGAGUCUUCUGUACUGAAUAAGUCAAAACUUUCAACAACGGAUCUCUUGGUUCUGGCAUCGAUGAAGAACGCAGCGAAAUGCGAUAAGUAAUGUGAAUUGCAGAAUUCAGUGAAUCAUCGAAUCUUUGAACGCACAUUGCGCCCGCCAGUAUUCUGGCGGGCAUGCCUGUUCGAGCGUCAUUUCAACCAUCAAGCCCCCGGCUUGUGUUGGGGACCUGCGGCUGCCGCAGGCCCUGAAAACCAGUGGCGGGCUCGCUAGUCACUCCGAGCGUAGUAGUUUACAUCUCGCUCAGGGCGUGCUGCGGGUUCCGGCCGUUAAAAGCCUUAUUUUACCCAAGGUGA
rnacentral:misc_RNA from 1 species